rnacentral:rRNA from 1 species
GACGAACGCUGGCGGCGCGCUUAACACAUGCAAGUCGAGCGAGAACCAGUCCUUCGGGACUGGGGAAAGCGGCGAACGGGUGAGUAACACGUGGGUAAUCUGCCCUCGGCACUGGGAUAGCCCGGGGAAACCCGGAUUAAUACCGGAUAGCCUUUCGAGCCUUCGGGCUCGUCAGAAAAGGUGGCUUCGGCUUCCGGCUGAGGAUGAGCCCGCGGCGGAUUAGCUUGUUGGUGGGGUAAUGGCCCACCAAGGCGACGAUCCGUAGCUGGUCUGAGAGGACGAUCAGCCACACUGGGACUGAGACACGGCCCAGACUCCUACGGGAGGCAGCAGUGGGGAAUCUUGCGCAAUGGGCGAAAGCCUGACGCAGCGACGCCGCGUGCGGGAAGAAGGCCUUCGGGUUGUAAACCGCUUUCAGGAGGGACAAAGCCACUCGGGUUAAUACCCCAGAGGGUGACGGUACCUCCAGAAGAAGCCCCGGCUAACCACGUGCCAGCAGCCGCAGUAAGAC